UACGUAGGGGGCAAGCGUUGUCCGGAUUUAUUGGGCGUAAAGAGCGUGUAGGCGGCCAGGUAGGUCAGCUGUGAAAACUCGAGGCUCAACCUCGAGACGUCGGUUGAAACCACCUGGCUAGAGUCCGGAAGAGGAGAGUGGAAUUCCUGGUGUAGCGGUGAAAUGCGCAGAUAUCAGGAAGAACACCCGUAGCGAAGGCGGCACUCUGGGCCGAGUCUGACACUGAGGAGCGAAAGCGUGGGGAGCGAACAGG
rnacentral:rRNA from 1 species